GACGAACGCUGGCGGCGUGCUUAACACAUGCAAGUCGAACGGAAAGGCCCUGCUUUUGUGGGGUGCUCGAGUGGCGAACGGGUGAGUAACACGUGAGUAACCUGCCCUUGACUUUGGGAUAACUUCAGGAAACUGGGGCUAAUACCGGAUAGGAGCUCCUGCUGCAUGGUGGGGGUUGGAAAGUUUCGGCGGUUGGGGAUGGACUCGCGGCUUAUCAGCUUGUUGGUGGGGUAGUGGCUUACCAAGGCUUUGACGGGUAGCCGGCCUGAGAGGGUGACCGGCCACAUUGGGACUGAGAUACGGCCCAGACUCCUACGGGAGGCAGCAGUGGGGAAUAUUGCACAAUGGGCGGAAGCCUGAUGCAGCAACGCCGCGUGCGGGAUGACGGCCUUCGGGUUGUAAACCGCUUUCGCCUGUGACGAAUCGUGAGUGACGGUAAUGGGUAAAGAAGCACCGGCUAACUACGUGCCAGCAGCCGCGGUGAUACGUAGGGUGCGAGCGUUGUCCGGAUUUAUUGGGCGUAAAGGGCUCGUAGGUGGUUGAUCGCGUCGGAAGUGUAAUCUUGGGGCUUAACCCUGAGCGUGCUUUCGAUACGGGUUGACUUGAGGAAGGUAGGGGAGAAUGGAAUUCCUGGUGGAGCGGUGGAAUGCGCAGAUAUCAGGAGGAACACCAGUGGCGAAGGCGGUUCUCUGGGCCUUUCCUGACGCUGAGGAGCGAAAGCGUGGGGAGCGAACAGGCUUAGAUACCCUGGUAGUCCACGCUGUAAACGGUGGGUACUAGGUGUGGGGUCCAUUCCACGGGUUCCGUGCCGUAGCUAACGCUUUAAGUACCCCGCCUGGGGAGUACGGCCGCAAGGCUAAAACUCAAAGGAAUUGACGGGGCCCCGCACAAGCGGCGGAGCAUGCGGAUUAAUUCGAUGCAACGCGUAGAACCUUACCUGGGUUUGACAUGGAUCGGGAGUGCUCAGAGAUGGGUGUGCCUCUUUUGGGGUCGGUUCACAGGUGGUGCAUGGCUGUCGUCAGCUCGUGUCGUGAGAUGUUGGGUUAAGUCCCGCAACGAGCGCAACCCUUGUUCACUGUUGCCAGCACGUUAUGGUGGGGACUCAGUGGAGACCGCCGGGGUCAACUCGGAGGAAGGUGGGGAUGACGUCAAGUCAUCAUGCCCCUUAUGUCCAGGGCUUCACGCAUGCUACAAUGGCUGGUACAGAGAGUGGCGAGCCUGUGAGGGUGAGCGAAUCUCGGAAAGCCGGUCUCAGUUCGGAUUGGGGUCUGCAACUCGACCUCAUGAAGUCGGAGUCGCUAGUAAUCGCAGAUCAGCAACGCUGCGGUGAAUACGUUCCCGGGGCU
rnacentral:rRNA from 1 species